AUACGUAGGUGGCAAGCGUUGUCCGGAAUUAUUGGGCGUAAAGCGCAUGUAGGCGGUUUGGUAAGUCGGGCGUGAAAAUGCGGGGCUUAACGGCGGAUGGGGAUUGAAACUGCUGAACUUGAGGGCCGGAGCGGGAAGGGGGAAUCCCAGUGUAGCGGGGAAAUGCGUAGAUAAUGGGAAGAACACCGGUGGCGAAGGCGCCUUUCUGGACUGUGUCUGACGCUCAGAUGCGAAAGCCAGGGUAGCGAACGGGAUUAGAUACCCCGGUAGUCCUGGCCGUAAACGAUGGGUACUAGGUGUGGGAGGUAUCGACUCCUUCCGUGCCGGAGUUAACGCAAUAAGUACCCCGCCUGGGGAGUACGGCCGCAAGGCUUAAACUCAAAUGAAUUGACGGGG
rnacentral:rRNA from 1 species